UACCGGAUAGAUCAGGGAUGCUGGAAUGCACCUUGAUCCAAAGCUCCGGCGCCCAAGGAUGGGUCUGCGGCCUAUCACGGUAGUAGUGGGUGUAACGUACCUACUAGCCGACGACGGGUACGGGUUGUGAGAGCAAGAGCCCGGAGAUGGAUUCUGAGACACGAAUCCAGGCCCUACGGGGUGCAGCAGGCGCGAAACCUUUACAAUGUGCGAAAGCAUGAUAAGGGAACUCCGAGUGCCAGUAUCUAAUACUGGCUGUCCUUGUGCCUAAAACGCACAAGAUAGCAAGGGCCGGGUAAGACCGGUGCCAGCCGCCGCGGUAACACCGGCGGCCCGAGUGGUAGCCGGCUAUUAUUGGGUCUAAAGGGUCCGUAGCCGGUUCGAUAAGUCCUCUGGGAAAUCUGGUUGCUUAACAAUCAGACUGCCAAGGGAUACUGUCGAACUUGAGACCGGGAGAGGUAAGAGGUACUUCAGGGGUAGGAGUGAAAUCUUGUAAUCCCUGGGGACCAUCUGUGGCGAAGGCGUCUUACCA
rnacentral:rRNA from 1 species